GGGCGUUAAGUUGCAGGGUAUAGACCCGAAACCCGGUGAUCUAGCCAUGGGCAGGUUGAAGGUUGGGUAACACUAACUGGAGGACCGAACCGACUAAUGUUGAAAAAUUAGCGGAUGACCUGUGGCUGGGGGUGAAAGGCCAAUCAAACCGGGAGAUAGCUGGUUCUCCCCGAAAGCUAUUUAGGUAGCGCCUCGUGAAUUCAUCUCCGGGGGUAGAGCACUGUUUCGGCUAGGGGGCCAUCCCGGCUUACCAACCCGAUGCAAACUGCGAAUACCGGAGAAUGUUAUCACGGGAGACACACGGCGGGUGCUAACGUCCGUCGUGAAGAGGGAAACAACCCAGACCGCCAGCUAAGGUCCCAAAGUCAUGGUUAAGUGGGAAACGAUGUGGGAAGGCCCAGACAGCCAGGAUGUUGGCUUAGAAGCAGCCAUCAUUUAAAGAAAGCGUAAUAGCUCACUGGUCGAGUCGGCCUGCGCGGAAGAUGUAACGGGGCUAAACCAUGCACCGAAGCUGCGGCAGCGACGCUUAUGCGUUGUUGGGUAGGGGAGCGUUCUGUAAGCCUGUGAAGGUGGCCUGUGAGGGUUGCUGGAGGUAUCAGAAGUGCGAAUGCUGACAUAAGUAACGAUAAAGCGGGUGAAAAGCCCGCUCGCCGGAAGACCAAGGGUUCCUGUCCAACGUUAAUCGGGGCAGGGUGAGUCGACCCCUAAGGCGAGGCCGAAAGGCGUAGUCGAUGGGAAACGGGUUAAUAUUCCCGUACUUGGUGUUACUGCGAAGGGGGGACGGAGAAGGCUAUGUUGGCCGGGCGACGGUUGUCCCGGUUUAAGCGUGUAGGUGUGUGUUCCAGGUAAAUCCGGUUCACUUUAACACUGAGGCGUGAUGACGAGGCACUACGGUGCUGAAGUAACAAAUGCCCUGCUUCCAGGAAAAGCCUCUAAGCAUCAGGUAACAUCAAAUCGUACCCCAAACCGACACAGGUGGUCAGGUAGAGAAUACCAAGGCGCUUGAGAGAACUCGGGUGAAGGAACUAGGCAAAAUGGUGCCGUAACUUCGGGAGAAGGCACGCUGACACGUAGGUGAAGUGAUUUACUCACGGAGCUGAAGUCAGUCGAAGAUACCAGCUGGCUGCAACUGUUUAUUAAAAACACAGCACUGUGCAAACACGAAAGUGGACGUAUACGGUGUGACGCCUGCCCGGUGCCGGAAGGUUAAUUGAUGGGGUCAGCGCAAGCGAAGCUCCUGAUCGAAGCCCCGGUAAACGGCGGCCGUAACUAUAACGGUCCUAAGGUAGCGAAAUUCCUUGUCGGGUAAGUUCCGACCUGCACGAAUGGCGUAAUGAUGGCCAGGCUGUCUCCACCCGAGACUCAGUGAAAUUGAACUCGCUGUGAAGAUGCAGUGUACCCGCGGCAAGACGGAAAGACCCCGUGAACCUUUACUAUAGCUUGACACUGAACAUUGAGCCUUGAUGUGUAGGAUAGGUGGGAGGCUUUGAAGUGUGGACGCCAGUCUGCAUGGAGCCGACCUUGAAAUACCACCCUUUAAUGUUUGAUGUUCUAACGUGGACCCGUUACCCGGGUUGCGGACAGUGUCUGGUGGGUAGUUUGACUGGGGCGGUCUCCUCCUAAAGAGUAACGGAGGAGCACGAAGGUUGGCUAAUCCUGGUCGGACAUCAGGAGGUUAGUGCAAUGGCAUAAGCCAGCUUGACUGCGAGCGUGACGGCGCGAGCAGGUGCGAAAGCAGGUCAUAGUGAUCCGGUGGUUCUGAAUGGAAGGGCCAUCGCUCAACGGAUAAAAGGUACUCCGGGGAUAACAGGCUGAUACCGCCCAAGAGUUCAUAUCGACGGCGGUGUUUGGCACCUCGAUGUCGGCUCAUCACAUCCUGGGGCUGAAGUAGGUCCCAAGGGUAUGGCUGUUCGCCAUUUAAAGUGGUACGCGAGCUGGGUUUAGAACGUCGUGAGACAGUUCGGUCCCUAUCUGCCGUGGGCGCUGGAGAACUGAGGGGGGCUGCUCCUAGUACGAGAGGACCGGAGUGGACGCAUCACUGGUGUUCGGGUUGUCAUGCCAAUGGCACUGCCCGGUAGCUAAAUGCGGAAGAGAUAAGUGCUGAAAGCAUCUAAGCACGAAACUUGCCCCGAGAUGAGUUCUCCCUGAGACUU
rnacentral:rRNA from 1 species